CUAAGCCAUGCGAGUCUUUGUAGUAAUACAAGGCAGACGGCUCAGUAACACGUAGUCAACCUACCCUAUGGACAAGAAUAAUCUCGGGAAACUGGGCAUAAUUCUUGAUAGAUCAUAAUGCCUGGAAUGGUUUAUGGUUAAAAUGAUUCGUCGCCAUAGGAUGGGACUGCGGCCUAUCAGCUUGUUGGUGAGGUAAUGGCCCACCAAGGCGAUUACAGGUACGGGCUCUGAGAGGAGAAGCCCGGAGAUGGGUACUGAGACACGGACCCAGGCCCUAUGGGGCGCAGCAGGCGAGAAAACUUUGCAAUGUGCGAAAGCACGACAAGGUUAAUCCGAGUGAUUUCUGCUAAAGAAAUCUUUUGCCAGUCAUAAAACCACUGGUGAAUAAGGGGUGGGCAAGUUCUGGUGUCAGCCGCCGCGGUAAAACCAGCACCUCAAGUGGUCAGGAUGAUUAUUGGGCCUAAAGCAUCCGUAGCCGGCUUUGUUAGUUUUCGGUUAAAUCCAUGUGCUCAACGCAUGGGCUGCCGAAAAUACUGCAUAGCUAGGGAGUGGGAGAGGUAGACGGUACUCAGUAGGAAGGGGUAAAAUCCUUUGAUCUAUUGAUGACCACCUGUGGCGAAGGCGGUCUACCAGAACACGUUCGACGGUGAGGGAUGAAAGCUGGGGGAGCAAACCGGAUUAGAUACCCGGGUAGUCCCAGCUGUAAACGAUGCAGACUCGAUGAUGCAUUGGCAUAAUAG
rnacentral:rRNA from 1 species